UCGAAUUUCGAGAAGAAGGCCAGCGUAUUCAAAACCAUAAGGCCUAGGUAGAGCUAGAUACAAGCAUAUCUUAAAUAAUGAUGCAGCUCAAUGGUGUAAAGGCGCUAAGCACAUGAUCUAAACGGAAAGCUUCACAUAAGAAAAUGUAGCCAUGGGAAUACGCCACGGAAGACAAGCUGCAAAUGAUAAUGACGAUGAGGAGGCUUAUGACGAUUAUUGGCUGUCUUAUCGUCACCGCCCGAGCAACAUAGAUGUGCUGAACUUCGGCUGAACGCGGUCGUUCGCUGUGUCCUGCACGUGCACGACACGGGACACAGAAACACCAAAACAUUAACAGGCCUGAGCAUGAUUAAAGCUACAGAAAAUUUGGCGGUACUCUCGAGCUCGCAUUGGCUAUUCAAGAGCAGAAUAACAAGAAAUUGUUGUCGCCUAUGAGGACACUCGCACAGCAAGAUUCGGUGGAAGUGGCUGCGGUAGAAAAGCUUUUCAGUCACCUGUAGUGCUGGUAACUCUCUCGAAGCCGGUGAGCUUAAUUCAA